rnacentral:rRNA from 2 species
AUGCAAGUCGAGCGGGGGAAGGUAGCUUGCUACCGGACCUAGCGGCGGACGGGUGAGUAAUGCUUAGGAAUCUGCCUAUUAGUGGGGGACAACAUCUCGAAAGGGAUGCUAAUACCGCAUACGUCCUACGGGAGAAAGCAGGGGAUCUUCGGACCUUGCGCUAAUAGAUGAGCCUAAGUCGGAUUAGCUAGUUGGUGGGGUAAAGGCCUACCAAGGCGACGAUCUGUAGCGGGUCUGAGAGGAUGAUCCGCCACACUGGGACUGAGACACGGCCCAGACUCCUACGGGAGGCAGCAGUGGGGAAUAUUGGACAAUGGGGGGAACCCUGAUCCAGCCAUGCCGCGUGUGUGAAGAAGGCCUUAUGGUUGUAAAGCACUUUAAGCGAGGAGGAGGCUACUUUAGUUAAUACCUAGAGAUAGUGGACGUUACUCGCAGAAUAAGCACCGGCUAACUCUGUGCCAGCAGCCGCGGUAAUACAGAGGGUGCGAGCGUUAAUCGGAUUUACUGGGCGUAAAGCGUGC